rnacentral:rRNA from 1 species
AGAGUUUGAUCCUGGCUCAGGACGAACGCUGGCGGCGUGCCUAACACAUGCAAGUCGAACGGACGAGGAGGAGCUUGCUUCUCCAAGUCAGUGGCGGACGGGUGAGUAACGCGUGAGUAACCUGCCCUUCAGAGGGGGAUAACGUCUGGAAACGGACGCUAAUACCGCAUGACAUAUUUCCAUCGCAUGGUGGAGAUAUCAAAGGAGCAAUCCGCUGAAGGAUGGACUCGCGUCCGAUUAGAUAGUUGGCGGGGUAACGGCCCACCAAGUCGACGAUCGGUAGCCGGACUGAGAGGUUGAACGGCCACAUUGGGACUGAGACACGGCCCAGACUCCUACGGGAGGCAGCAGUGGGGGAUAUUGCACAAUGGGCGAAAGCCUGAUGCAGCAACGCCGCGUGAGGGAAGACGGUUUUCGGAUUGUAAACCUCUGUUCUAAGUGACGAACAAAUGACGGUAGCUUAGGAGAAAGCCCCGGCUAACUACGUGCCAGCAGCCGCGGUAAUACGUAGGGGGCAAGCGUUGUCCGGAAUUACUGGGUGUAAAGGGAGCGCAGGCGGAGAAGCAAGUCAGUGGUGAAAACGAUGGGCUUAACUCAUCGACUGCCAUUGAAACUGUUUCCCUUGAGUGAAGUAGAGGCAGGCGGAAUUCCGAGUGUAGCGGUGAAAUGCGUAGAUAUUCGGAGGAACACCAGUGGCGAAGGCGGCCUGCUGGGCUUUAACUGACGCUGAGGCUCGAAAGUGUGGGGAGCAAACAGGAUUAGAUACCCUGGUAGUCCACACUGUAAACGAUGAUUGCUAGGUGUGGGGGGUCUGACCCCUUCCGUGCCGGAGUUAACGCAAUAAGC